rnacentral:misc_RNA from 1 species
GUGAAUCAUCAAAUCUUUGAACGCAAAUUGCGCCUUCUUUCGGGAGGCAUGUCUGUUUGAGGGCACCAUUUAACAAAUAAUGUGCGGGUCGCUAUGCGGCGUGCACACGUUGAUGAGCUUUUCCGAAAAACCAGGUUUUUUUGGUGGCGCAUAAUGAACAGCGUGGGCUUUUUCUUUCGAUUCUCGUGUAGUAAGUAAAUUUUCGCAGAUUAAAUUGAAAAAAACUAACAAACAAAACAU